ensembl:lncRNA
GGGCGGCUCCUGUCCCAGGCAGACAGACAGCAACAUGAAAGACGAACUUGGAAGAGAGCUGACCCGCACCCUCGGCCAAUAGGAGAGGGUGACAUCCACGGGGAGGUCAGGUGGACAGGCUCCACCUGACAUGAUGGAGGCGAAUCGGAGGAACUUGGUGAAUGGGCUGCAGGGCCCACCCUUGAGGGUAGAUGACAGGUGGGCUUGGAGAGGACACCCCAUGUGUCCCGGACACACCGCCCAGCUCUGGGGCCGUGGGUGGCCUUCACAAAGUCCAGCCCACAUUCCAACCCUGACCACCCAUGCUGGUCUUUCAGAAGUUUAAACCUGUUGGUUUUGCAUAUGGAAAGAUGAGACCUAAUUUUUUUAAAUGAGAAAAAAAAAAUCACGCUUUCUUAUAUCCUGGACCAUUUACCUUCAAAAAAUCACAGACUGAGAUAUUAAAAGCAAGAGUUGUUUCACACUCAAAGACGUGCGGAAUGACCCGUUAUGUGUAAUUGGUUCCAGCCAUCCCUCCGUGACAAGUUUUUACAAGCCGUCUGAAUGCAUUUAGGGUAGAAAGAGAAAAGACUGAACAACAAUCCCGCUCGAUGUGAAUGUGAGCGGAGUCCCUUCCAGCGUCUUCACUGAGACGGGCCCAGGCCGAGCCUGUGAAGAGAUACGGACACACGCGGGGGAAUCCCCAGCCUUCACCUCUCCGCCUCAGCUCACCUUGGCUAAGACCUUUCCGGGACUUCAGAAUCUCCUCGCUGUGCACAGAUCCAGCAGCAAGGGGGCUUAAAUGCCGUUAUUUUUCUCCACGUACUGGACCUCACAUAUUCAUAUUCAGGCCAGGAGCAGUUUAAAAUUGCACAGAACAAGCAUGCUCGCCAAUAGCUCAGUGGGAGGCUGAGUGCUGCGAGCGGGUCUUGUGCUCCUACGGGGACUGCGCGUGGUGCCGGCUUCGGUUCCCUGCUGGGGCCUCGUGUCUGCUCAGGAGCCAGGGGACUCGGCUCAGCUCCUGACAUUGUCCCUAAGUUGUGUGUGGCCGUCAGAAAAAGACUUCGCCUCCUGGAACCUCAGCUUCCUCGUCUGCUGCUCAGGGAUGAUGGCACAAUGCUGAUGGAGAUCUAGAUUUGACGAGGACUGAAUCAGCUGACAGAUGCAAAGAAAGAGAUGGGUCCUUGGCACAGUGAUUCUGCAAUCAGUUCAGUUCAGUUCAGUUCAGUCACUCAGUUGUGUCCGACUCUUGGUGACCCCAUGAAUUGCAGCACGCCAGGCCUCCCUGUCCAUCACCAACUCCCGGAGUUCACCCAAACUCAAAUUAUGCUUAUUUCUAUUAGGAUGGAAACUUGAUCUUACACUUUUUGUAUCGUUAAUGUUAGCAGUUGCACUGAAUUUAUAUCAGAUUGCUUUAAAAUUGUUUCUAUUUAGCUUUGAGCAUGCUUCCUACUUUUAGCUGAUUUGGUAAUCAUCCUGAACAC